CCCUUAGAUGUUCUGGGCCGCACGCGCGCUACACUGACGAAUGCAACGAGCUUAUAACCUUGGCCGAAAGGUCUGGGUAAUCUCCAAAUUUCGUCGUGAUGGGGGUAGAUUAUUGCAAUUAUUAAUCUUCAACGAGGAAUGCCUAGUAAGCGCAAGUCAUCAGCUUGCGUUGAUUACGUCCCUGCCCUUUGUACACACCGCCCGUCGCACCUACCGAUUGAAUGGUCCGGUGAAGCCUCCGGAUUGGCGCGCACCUCGGUGCCGCCGAGAAGUUGGCUAAACCUUACCAUUUAGAGGAAGGUGAAGUCGUAACA
rnacentral:rRNA from 1 species